CAUAAUCACUUGUUCCUUUAAAUGAAGGACUUGCAUGAAUGGCUCCACGAGGGUUCGACUGUCUCUUACUUUUAACCAGUGAAAUUGACCUGCCCGUGAAGAGGCGGGCAUAACAUAACAAGACGAGAAGACCCUAUGGAGCUUCAAUCUACCAGUGCAAAUAACAUAUAACAAGCCCACAGGCCCUAAUUCACCAAACCUGCACUGAAGAUUUCGGUUGGGGCGACCUCGGAGUAUAACCCAACCUCCGAGAAACACAUGUUAAGACUUCACAAGUCAAAACAAACUUCCACACACAAUUGAUCCAAUAACUUGACCAACGGAACAAGUUACCCUAGGGAUUACAGCGCAAUCCUGUUCUAGAGUCCAUAGCAACGACAGGGUUU
rnacentral:rRNA from 1 species